rnacentral:lncRNA from 1 species
CAGAAUGUUAACAGACGCUGCCUUUAGGGAGAGAUAAAAAGCAUAAUGACAUUAGAUGGUGGCCUUAUGCUGUUGUCUCUGGAAGAUCUCCGGCUGUGAGGAAGUCCCUCUAACUUACAACCUGCUCAAGUGCCUCCUAGAUAAAGCGCACUGUGUACUCCUGACAUCUUGUGGUUACAUCUUUUCCUUGAUCAGUCCAGAAAUUCUCAAACUCACUUUAAUCACUUUGCAGAUCCUCUUAAUACUCAAAAAUCUACACUUACUGUGGCUGACAGUUUCAAGCAGAUGUGUUCAUCGCAGUAGUGCAAGAAAAGAAAAGUAGAAGAACCCUGCAGAGAUUUGAUGGAACCCAGCUUCUAUUCAUUAAAACCAAUGGCAAAAUAUAAAGCAAAUAGGAGGUGACGAAGGUUACAAAGAUACGUAUUGUUUAUGUUUUCCCUGGGGUGUGCUGAUUGUCAGGCAUCAGUUCCCUGUGCCAUUCAUUCCCCAACACAGCAUGCAUCAGAAAUUUUAUCAAUAAAUGCUUUCUCUCUCAAUGUUCAACCUAUGCUGAUAGACCAUUAAAUACAGUUUUUGGGUUCACAGCUUGUCAUCAUCAUUUGUCUAUACCUGUGGCAAAGAAUAUCUAAUAAGAUACUCUCAGCAUUUUGCACACUUAAACUAAGAUGCUGAAUGCUGUAUUUUACGGAAUAAUCAGCCACAUUAAAUUUGGAGACUCAACAAGCAUGCUGUGAACAUUCAACAUUAGGUUUAAAUUUUAUUUUUAAAAGUUAAUAAUAAAAGGAUAUAUGUUAAGUAUUAUGAAACCCUGCAUAUAUUGUAAUAAAAUGGUGGAUGUGAAUGGACAAU